rnacentral:rRNA from 1 species
AGUCUCUUAAUKGGUGACUUGUAUGAAAGAUUGGAUGAAAUAUAAACUGUCUCUUUAUUAUAUUUAAAAUUUAAUUUUUAAAUUAAAAAGUUUAAAUAAAUUUAAAAGACGAGAAGACCCCAUAGAGUUUUAUAAUUUAUUAAAUUAAAAUUAUUUAUAAGUUUAAUAAUAAAAAUUUAUUAAAUUAUUUUAUUGGGGUGAUAAAAAAAUAAAUUAAACUUUUUUUUUAAUUUUAACAUAAAUAAGUGAAAAUAUGAUCCAAAAUUUUUGAUUAAAAGAAAAAAUUACCUUGGGGAUAACAGCGUAAUUUUUUCUUUUAGUUCAAAUAAGAGAAAGAGUUUGCGACCUCGAUGUUGGAUUAAGAUAAAGUUUAAAUGC